rnacentral:rRNA from 1 species
UACAGAGGGGGCAAGCGUUGUUCGGAAUUACUGGGCGUAAAGGGCGCGUAGGCGGCCUGUUAAGUCGAACGUGAAAGCCCCGGGCUCAACCUGGGAAUUGCAUUUGAGACUGCAUAGCUAGGGUGCGGAAGAGGGAAGCGGAAUUUCCGGUGUAGCGGUGAAAUGCGUAGAUAUCGGAAGGAACACCAGUGGCGAAAGCGGCUUCCUGGUCCAGCACCGACGUCAGGCACGAAAGCGUGGGGAGCAAACAGG